UACGUAGGGGGCAAGCGUUGUCCGGAUUUAUUGGGCGUAAAGAGCGUGUAGGCGGCUAGAUAGGUCCGUUGUGAAAACUCGAGGCUCAACCUCGAGACGUCGAUGGAAACCAUCUGGCUAGAGUCCGGAAGAGGAGAGUGGAAUUCCUGGUGUAGCGGUGAAAUGCGCAGAUAUCAGGAAGAACACCCGUGGCGAAGGCGGCCAUCUGGACGGUAACUGACGCUGAGACGCGAAAGCGUGGGUAGCAAACAGG
rnacentral:rRNA from 1 species